UGGCCAGUGAGUCUUACCCCUCCUCAAUGUUAAUGUGUGCUUCCUGUCGAAGGCUGGAGCUUUUCCAGAUCUCCGGAGCCCUUUUCAGCUCAUUAGCAUUUGUGCUUGCCCUGGGGGAAGAAUCCACCAUUCCGGCUCAGGCAAUCAGCUGCCAGCUCCUCCCCUCUGUGAGCAAUGAUCCUGCCUUCAGACCUUGCCUGAACAUUCCUCAUAGCACUUGCCUUCUUUUUCCUGAAAUCAAGGCAAUAUGUCAGUAUUGAGUGAAUCCAGACAUCAUAGCUCGGUAAGGCAUAGUGAUAUUGAUUGCUUCUUUGUCUCAGGAGGUAUAAGAACUGGCAGAUCUCAAAGGGGAAAUUUCUGGUAUCCUGUGUCUUCAGACUUUGUUCUUCUGUUCAAGUAACUCUC